rnacentral:rRNA from 1 species
UACGUAGGGUGCGAGCGUUAAUCGGAAUUACUGGGCGUAAAGCGUGCGCAGGCGGUUUUUUAAGUCCGAUGUGAAAGCCCCGGGCUUAACCUGGGAAUGGCAUUUGGGACUGCAAGGCUUGAGUGCGGCAGAGGAGACUGGAAUUCCUGGUGUAGCAGUGAAAUGCGUAGAUAUCAGGAGGAAUACCGAUGGCGAAGGCAGGUCUCUGGGCUGACACUGACGCUCAUGCACGAAAGCGUGGGGAGCAAACAGG